UACGGGGGGGGGCAAGCGUUUGUUCGGAAUUACUGGGCGUAAAGGGCUCGUAGGCGGUCGUUCAAGUCGAGUGUGAAAGCCCCCGGCUCAACUGGGGAGGGUCAUUCGAUACUGAUCGACUCGAAGGCAGGAGAGGGAAGUGGAAUUCCCGGUGUAGUGGUGAAAUGCGUAGAUAUCGGGAGGAACACCAGUGGCAAAGGGCAGACUUCCUGGCCCUUCGUUGUUGACGCUGAGGCGCGAAAGCUAGGGGAGCAAACGGG
rnacentral:rRNA from 1 species